rnacentral:rRNA from 1 species
CCAAUAGCGUAUAUUAAAGUUGCUGCAGUUAAAAAGCUCGUAGUUGAAUUUCGGGGUCAAUAUGUUGGUCGUGCCUUGGUACGUACUAGCUUAUUGAUUUCUCCUUUCUGACGAACCAUGAUGUCAUUAAUUUGGUGUCAUGGGGAAUCAGGACUGUUACUUUGAAAAAAUUAGAGUGUUUAAAGCAGGCUCGCGCUUGAAUACAUUAGCAUGGAAUAAUGAAAUAGAACAUUUGAUUCUAUUUUGUUGGUUUCUAGGAUCGAUGUAAUGAUUAAUAGGGAUAGUUGGGGGCAUUAGUAUUCAAUUGUCAGUGGUGAAAUUCUUGGAUUUAUUGAAGACUAACUACUGCGAAAGCAUUUGCCAAGGAUGUUUUCAUUAAUCAAGAACGAAAGUUAGGGGAUCGAAGACGAUCAGAUACCGUCGUAGUCUUAACCAUAAACUAUGCCGACUAGGGAUCGGAUGAUGUUAAUUUUUUAAUGACUCAUUCGGCGCCUUACG